UGGAGAACUGAGGGGGGCUGCUCCUAGUACGAGAGGACCGGAGUGGACGCAUCACUGGUGUUCGGGUUGUCAUGCCAAUGGCACUGCCCGGUAGCUAAAUGCGGAAGAGAUAAGUGCUGAAAGCAUCUAAGCACGAAACUUGCCCCGAGAUGAGUUCUCCCUGACUCCUUGAGAGUCCUGAAGGAACGUUGAAGACGACGACGUUGAUAGGCCGGGUGUGUAAGCGCAGCGAUGCGUUGAGCUAACCGGUACUAAUGAACCGUGAGGCUUAACCUUACAACGCCGAAGCUGUU
rnacentral:rRNA from 1 species